rnacentral:rRNA from 1 species
GAGCGGUAGAGAGGUGCUUGCACCUCUUGAGAGCGGCGGACGGGUGAGUAAUACCUAGGAAUCUGCCUGGUAGUGGGGGAUAACGUUCGGAAACGGACGCUAAUACCGCAUACGUCCUACGGGAGAAAGCAGGGGACCUUCGGGCCUUGCGCUAUCAGAUGAGCCUAGGUCGGAUUAGCUAGUUGGUGAGGUAAUGGCUCACCAAGGCUACGAUCCGUAACUGGUCUGAGAGGAUGAUCAGUCACACUGGAACUGAGACACGGUCCAGACUCCUACGGGAGGCAGCAGUGGGGAAUAUUGGACAAUGGGCGAAAGCCUGAUCCAGCCAUGCCGCGUGUGUGAAGAAGGUCUUCGGAUUGUAAAGCACUUUAAGUUGGGAGGAAGGGCAUUAACCUAAUACGUUAGUGCUUUGACGUUACCGACAGAAUAAGCACCGGCUAACUCUGUGCCAGCAGCCGCGGUAAUACAGAGGGUGCAAGCGUUAAUCGGAAUUACUGGGCGUAAAGCGCGCGUAGGUGGUUUGUUAAGUUGAAUGUGAAAUCCCCGGGCUCAACCUGGGAACUGCAUCCAAAACUGGCAAGCUAGAGUAUGGUAGAGGGUGGUGGAAUUUCCUGUGUAGCGGUGAAAUGCGUAGAUAUAGGAAGGAACACCAGUGGCGAAGGCGACCACCUGGACUGAUACUGACACUGAGGUGCGAAAGCGUGG